rnacentral:rRNA from 1 species
UACGUAGGGACCAAGCGUUGUUCGGAUUUACUGGGCGUAAAGGGCGCGUAGGCGGCAAUUCAAGUCACUUGUGAAAUCUCCGGGCUUAACUCGGAACGGUCAAGUGAUACUGUCGGACUAGAGUACAGAAGGGGCAACUGGAAUUCUCGGUGUAGCGGUGAAAUGCGUAGAUAUCGAGAGGAACACCUGCGGCGAAGGCGGGUUGCUGGGCUGAUACUGACGCUGAGGCGCGAAAGCCAGGGGAGCGAACGGG